CGCGCGUGUGAGAGGGCCGAGAGGGAGUGCGCGCGGCGGAAGGGCAGUGAGCGCCGGGCAGUGGUAGCGUGUUCGUGGCGAGAGCGUCGAGCCCGGAGUGACUGGCUUGCCCGACACCUGUUUACUUGAGGGUGUCUUUAUCUUGUCACGGCGAGGGAAGGGAAGGGAGAGGAGGAACAAGAGGACCUCACGUAACCGAGCACCUCUACCCAACGCAGCGACCCCUUCAUGCUGCCCUACCCCCCUCCCCCUCCCUUGCCCCUGCUGCUCUGAGGAUGUUGGGGAUGACGCACAAAUAUAUAAGAUUGCUCGCAGACAAGCCUUCCUAAGUGAGGCAAAGUGAAAGGACACGCACACACAGUCCUUAUCCUGCAAGGGUAUGUUAACUAGCUGAUACACACUGUUCUAAUUAGCACCCAUAUCAUUGAUGAAAAAAAAUGAGCCAUAGU